rnacentral:lncRNA from 1 species
CUAGGGUCAGCAUAGCUUUGAUACCACUUCUGUCACACCCGGUUCUAGGAGGUAGAACCGAGCGUAUACCAUAUGUGUGCCAGGAUCCAUUUCCACACAUAUGUUGACGUCACAAGUGUAAUAUAUCAAAAGACAAUGCAAUAAAGGCGUAAAGAGAGUAUAAAACUUUAUUACAUCAUCUGAAACAUUGUGUCUUAAACAAGUAUCACAUCAAAGUUAAGCGGAAAUAAACAACUGGGCAAUCUUCCACAGGAAGUUGACCGGCGCAUCGUUAGACUUAGAAUUCCUCGUCGAUAAAUUCCCCAUCAAAGUCUCCAGCAUCACCCUCUGAUCAAAAUAUUAGCAAGGGUGAGCUCACUUAUGGUCGGGGCUCAGCAAGUGGGGGAAAAAUUAAUGCAGGUAUAACAAGGUGAGGCUAAGGUUGAGCAGUAAGCAUUUUAGUUGGUCAACAUUUUAUUAUCAACACAUGUCUUACUAAUAAGAGUGAAUCCCAAAUAUCCCAAUUAAACGAAGGAUUAUGAAUAUAACAAAAACACUUAAGUGAAACCACUUAAGUAAAUUAUUUGCAGAUCAUCGGAUCUCAAUUUAUGUCCAUCUUUAAGUUCAAUUAUCAUGUGAGGAGUCCAGGUCGCUCAUAACCGGGAGCACGGCUGAUAUAUCAGUUUUACACUCUGCAGAGGUGGUACAACUUUACCCACAAGCCAUGUAUCCCACCUAGCCCAGGUUGAUCGGACCCUUAGACACUGCCGAGGUGAAUGGCUAAGGAUCCAUUAUGAGGUUUUCACAAAAUACACUUAAUACGAAGCAACCCGCUAAGGUUUCUAAGACGAUGGUGGUGGCCCCCUGGGUGAAGUACCUUAGCCAAGAAUACGACCCCAUGUUAACGUGGGCUGCCAGCACCUACCGCUCCCCCUCUUGCCCAUUUUUCAGGUAAGGUUGCUAGGCACUAAGCAUAUAGAGCUAAUUACCAAAGCCAGAGCCAUGAUAGCACUCGUGGUUGCACUGUUAUCCUGGGUGGUCACUCCAUGUUCCAAUUAAAUUUAUAAUAAAGUUAUCUUAACCAUCGGGUUAAUGUCAUAAUUGCAAAUUAACAUUUUUGGAACAUUAAACCAAUUAAUGAGUGACAUUAAGAAAUCAUUAAGUUUAGCGGUAGCAUAAAUCUUGCACAGCUUAAUUAUUUCCCAGGUUAAACAAGGAAUACAGGUAGUAAAUCUAGGAAAUCCUUAGUUAGGUAAAACCCAUCAAAUUAUGCAAUAUAUCAAAGAGUAAACAUUAUUAUAUGCAAUGAAUAGGUACAAACAGAAUAUGCAGAGGGAGAAUCCACUUGCCUUGCUCAAAAGCGUCUUGCGGGUCGUCGUCGAACGAGUUCGGAUUCUCUACCACACAGUCCGCUUCUAUUAUAGUCGCACAUCGCACAUACAAAAAUAAAGUAUACACCCAUAAAUAAACAUGCACCAUUACAUAAUCAUACACCAUUACAUGCACAUUAACAUGUCGCACUAAUCACAUUUUAAUUACGUACUAAUCGCGUAAAUACUUAUUAAUUAAAUUAUAGCUAUUAAUGUGAAUCCUAAUGGUGAAUUUAGGAGUGGGUGCAAUAAAUAUAAUUUUAACUAAUAUUUAUUUUAACACCAUCAAUGAAAUUAAAUAACACUUAUUAUCUUUUAAUACUAAUAAAUAAAUUAAUACCUUUUAUUCCUUCUAACUCAAAUUAGUUAGUAUAGCAAAAAUGAAUUUAAUAAUAUUAAUAUUCUAAAAAUCUACAUAAACUACUAAUUGAACAUUUUCUAACACAAGCGAGGUUAUUUGACAUAAACUAGUACUCUAACAAUUUUAAGUUCUAAAUCUGUGAACAUGUUUAUUUGACUAGCAAAAACCUAUUUUGCCAUCUACUAAUGAUAUUUUCUCCUUUCUUUAAAAAAAUGCUAAUAAAAUAAUUAGAUAAAUCAUCUAAAAUCCUAUAUUAUUCAAAUGACAUGAGUUCUAUACCAUUUUCUAAUCCAUAAAAAAUGCACCUAUAAUUCUCCAAUUAGUUUCCAAAAUUUAUCGUGACCAAUUUUGACUAUAAAUUCUUAUCUAGUAUUUUUACCACCAACGUGUGACUAUUAAAUCUACGUCAUAUUUAUCUAAACCAACAUCAACGCGUCGAUUAACAUGAAAUAACACGGUGCACUACUAAUCGCAUAUUUCUAACAAAUUCCAUAGCGCACACAAAUACACAAAUCGGAAUCACAUGUGUUCAUAUUACGACAAACAAACUAUACAACACAUGAAUCGAAUCAAAAGCACUUUAUAAAAUACAUAAAAUAAAUUUGGGUCGUCAUCAACCUCGGGUUCGUGCGUGUGACGGGGAUGGAUCGACGGGUUUCGGCCGGACGGAGAGCGGGGCUCGACUACGGACAGCGAGUACGUGGCUCCGGCGACGAACGACACACUCCGGCGACGAACGGCACACUAACGAUGGCGUCGAACAGUGCACUGGCGAUGAGCGAGGAGUGCUAGAGAGAAAGGCAAACUCGAGUAGGCAGGAAUGGGGAGGCUCUGCUGUUCCCUUUUAUAGAGAGCAAGAGGGAGAAGAAAGGUCUGAUAGAGGGAGUAACGUGGUCUUCAAUGGCCACCACUGUGUCAGUUUCCAGAGAAUAACGAGGGAGAGAAUAAUGGAGAAGAAUAAAACGGUCGCAGUGAUUUUCAAUUAAUCGCAGGCAACGAACGGACGACGGGAGUCGUGGUCGGGCUCGGUCGGCGCGUGCGGCAUCGCGGCGUCGCGUGGCUCGGGCGUCGGCGUGCGCGGGAGGCAGCGCGGCUGGACCUACAGGCGCGGCGCUCCAGACCGGCCUCGCCUGCGCAGCAUCGCGCCGGUCGGCAGCGUGUCCUGGGCGGGCGCGGCGCGUCGGGCAGAGCAACGCGGCUCCUGCGCGCGCGGUGUGUGGCUCGCUCGGCGUGCGCGCGAGCGGCCGGAGCAGGGCGCGCUCGGCUGGCUGCUGGGUGGCGCGGUGCAGAGAGAACGGUGGGAGGAGAGAGUGAGUGGGAGAGAGAAGUGAGAGAGAGAGAAGUGAGGGAGAGAGAGUGGGAGUAGCAGAGGGAGGCGGCGGCUGG